rnacentral:rRNA from 1 species
AUUAACGCUGGCGGCAGGCAUAAUACAUGCAAGUUGAACGGCAGCACAGGUAGCAAUACCGGGUGGCGAGUGGCGCACGGGUGCGUAACACGUAUGCAACCUACCCUAUACAGGCGAAUAACCUUUAGAAAUGAGGGCUAAUACGCCGUGGUAUUAUCUUGGGGCAUCUUGAGAUAAUUAAAGAUUUAUCGGUAUAGGAUGGGCAUGCGUCCCAUUAGUUAGUUGGUAGGGUAACGGCCUACCAAGGCUAUGAUGGGUAGGG